CAUCCUCCAAGGCUAAAUACUCCUGACUGACCGAUAGUGAACCAGUACCGUGAGGGAAAGGCGAAAAGAACCCCGGCGAGGGGAGUGAAAAAGAACCUGAAACCGUGUACGUACAAGCAGUGGGAGCACAGGUUUACCUGUGUGACUGCGUACCUUUUGUAUAAUGGGUCAGCGACUUAUAUUCUGUAGCAAGGUUAACCGUAUAGGGGAGCCGGAGGGAAACCGAGUCUUAAUUGGGCGUUAAGUUGCAGGGUAUAGACCCGAAACCCGGUGAUCUAGCCAUGGGCAGGUUGAAGGUUGGGUAACACUAACUGGAGGACCGAACCGAC
rnacentral:rRNA from 2 species